GACGAACGCUGGCGGCGUGCCUAAUACAUGCAAGUCGAGCGGACGAAUCGAAAGCUUGCUUUUGAUUCGUUAGCGGCGGACGGGUGAGUAACACGUGGGCAACCUGCCCUGUAGACGGGGAUAACACCGAGAAAUCGGUGCUAAUACCGGAUAACACGAAAUGUCGCAUGACGUUUCGUUGAAAGACGGCGCAAGCUGUCGCUACAGGAUGGGCCCGCGGCGCAUUAGCUAGUUGGUGAGGUAACGGCUCACCAAGGCGACGAUGCGUAGCCGACCUGAGAGGGUGAUUGGCCACACUGGGACUGAGACACGGCCCAGACUCCUACGGGAGGCAGCAGUAGGGAAUCUUCCGCAAUGGACGAAAGUCUGACGGAGCAACGCCGCGUGAGCGAAGAAGGCCUUCGGGUCGUAAAGCUCUGUUGUUAGGGAAGAACAAGUAACGCAGUAACUGGCGUUACCGUGACGGUACCUAACGAGAAAGCCACGGCUAACUACGUG
rnacentral:rRNA from 1 species